UUUCUCCACACCUCUCCACCCUUCUGAAAGAAUCAAGGUCACAUAUCUAAGGCUGAUGUUCAACCGCCAGUCCUGAUAGGAGAGAAAAAAUACACGCAAAAAUGUGCAACAAGUCAGAUCGAAGAAGGGAACUGAUGAUGGAAAGAGCUGAAUUAAGAGGCUGUGGAAUGAGCAGUGAUGAUCAUCCUUUCCUGCUGCCCCAUAGGAGGACGAGGUGGUCCUAGUCACAGCAUCUGCCAUCUGGAUUAUGCUCCAGGCAUACCCUACUUGAAGAAGUCAGAAGAGGGCAUUGGAUCUCUGAAGAUAUGGCAGCAGCUGUGAAUGUUUGUGAAUCACCAUAUGGUUCUUACUGAUGGUUCAUCUCUGCAGUCUCAUGAUUAAGUCUUAAAUGGGGUCAAAUCUAUUUUUACCAUUACAUUAUCGAGAUGUGGGGCAGAUUCCAACAUUUGUAAAUAUUCAAUGGUGUCUUAAAGGAGGUGGAAGACCAUUUAUACACCAAACUCUUGGUAACUAUAAAGCAGGGUUACUAUACUUCUUAACUUAAA